GAUGAACGCUAGCGAUAGGCUUAACACAUGCAAGUCGAGGGGCAGCACAAGGUAGCUUGCUAUCUGGGUGGCGACCGGCGCACGGGUGCGUAACGCGUAUGCAACUUGCCCUAUACAGGAGGAUAACCCGUCGAAAGACGGACUAAUACUGCGUAUGCUCACAACUUGGCAUCAAGUGGUGAGGAAAGAAAUUCGGUAUAGGAUAGGCAUGCGUCCCAUUAGCUUGUUGGUGAGGUAACGGCUCACCAAGGCAGCGAUGGGUAGGGGAACUGAGAGGUUUAUCCCCCACACUGGUACUGAGACACGGGCCAGACUCCUACGGGAGGCAGCAGUGAGGAAUAUUGGUCAAUGGGCGCGAGCCUGAACCAGCCAAGUCGCGUGAAGGAUGACUGUCUUAUGGAUUGUAAACUUCUUUUAUACGGGAAUAACAAGAGUCACGUGUGACUCCCUGCAUGUACCGUAUGAAUAAGCAUCGGCUAACUCCGUG
rnacentral:rRNA from 1 species